GGAUGAACGCUGGCGGCGUGCCUAAUACAUGCAAGUCGAGCGAACGGACGAGAAGCUUGCUUUUCUGAUGUUAGCGGCGGACGGGUGAGUAACACGUGGAUAACCUACCUAUAAGACUGGGAUAACUUCGGGAAACCGGAGCUAAUACCGGAUAAUAUUUUGAACCGCAUGGUUCAAAAGUGAAAGACGGUCUUGCUGUCACUUAUAGAUGGAUCCGCGCUGCAUUAGCUAGUUGGUAAGGUAACGGCUUACCAAGGCAACGAUGCAUAGCCGACCUGAGAGGGUGAUCGGCCACACUGGAACUGAGACACGGUCCAGACUCCUACGGGAGGCAGCAGUAGGGAAUCUUCCGCAAUGGGCGAAAGCCUGACGGAGCAACGCCGCGUGAGUGAUGAAGGUCUUCGGAUCGUAAAACUCUGUUAUUAGGGAAGAACAUAUGUGUAAGUAACUGUGCACAUCUUGACGGUACCUAAUCAGAAAGCCACGGCUAGCUACGUG
rnacentral:rRNA from 1 species